rnacentral:rRNA from 1 species
AUUGAACGCUGGCGGCAUGCUUUACACAUGCAAGUCGAACGGCACCGCGUGCUUCGGUCUGCCGGCCAGUGGCGAACGGGUGAGUAAUACAUCUGAACGUGCCCUGUACUGGGGGAUCUCUCGACUGAAAGCCGGAUUAAUACCCCAUGCCACCUGACGGUGAAAGCGGGGGAUCUUCGGACCUCACGCUAUUGGGAGGCGGUCUAUGGCAGAUUAGGCUGUUGGUGGGGUAAAUGCCUACCAUGGCGACGAUCUGUAUCUGGUCUGAGACGACGACCAGCCACCCUGGGACUGAGACCCGGCCCACACUCCUACAGGAGGCAGCCGUGGUCAAUUUUGGACCAUGGGCGAAAACCCGAUCCCACUGUGCCACGUGUGUGAUGAACGCCUUCGCGUUGUCAAGCACUUUUGGCGGAUACUAAAACGAUCGUGUCAAUGCCAUGCUCUGAUGACAGUACCCGCUUACUGUGCGCCGGCUCUCUACCUGCCAGCCGCCGCUGUAUUCCUUACGGCGCCCGCGUUAAUCCGAAUUACUGGACCUAUAUACUGCGCUAGCGGUUUUGCAACACCCAUGUGAAAUCCCCCGGCUUAACCUGGGAACUGCAUUGGUGACUGCUUCGCUAGAGUGUGUCAGAGGAAAGUGGAAUUCCGCAUGUAGCAGUGAAAUGCGUAGAUAUGCGGAGGAACACCGAUGGCGAAGGCAGCCUCCUGGGAUAACACUGACGCUCAUGCGCGAAAGCGUGGGGAGCAAACAGGAUUAGAUACCCUGGUAGUCCACGCCCUAAACGAUGUCUACUAAUUGUCGGGGAUUAAUUUCCUUGGUAACGCAGCUAACACGUGAAAUACACCCCCUGUGGAGUACGGCAGCAAGAUUAAUACUCUCAGGAAUUGACGGGGACCCGCACAAGCGGAGGAUGAUGUGGACUAAUUCUAUGCACCGCGAAAAAACUUACCUACGCUUGACAUGUCCGGAUCCCUGAAGCGAUAUGGGGGUGCUCGAACGAGAGCCCGAACACAGGUGCUGCAUGGCUGUCGUCAGCUCGGGCUCGUGAGAUGUUGGGUUAAGUCCCGCAACGAGCGCAACCCUUAUCAUUAGUUGCUAAGCAAGGCCACUCUAAUGAGACUCCCGGGGCCAACCCGGAGGAAGGAGGGGAUGACGUCAAGUCCUCCUGGCCCUUAUGUGUAGGGCUUCACACGUCAUCCAAUGGUCGGUACAGAGGGCAGCGAAGCCGCGAGGUCGAGCCAAUCCCAAAAAACCGAUCGCAGUCCGGAUUGCAGUCUGCAACUCGACUGCAUGAAGUCGGAAUCGCUAGUAAUCGCGGAUCAGCAUGUCGCGGUGAAUACGUUCCCGGGUCU